rnacentral:lncRNA from 1 species
GCCUUUACUGUUUUCAGGUCUAACAAAUUACUUGGUACAGUGUUAGGUAAUUGUUCCACUGCUUAGAAACCAUUGAGACAAAAGCAAGCCUGUGGAUUUCCACCUCCUUUUUUUCAUCUCAGUAAAUAUCAGACACGUAAAGCAUAGUGGGAAAUGGUCCAUUAAUCUCCUAGAGCUGCUAGCAGAGCCCAGGGAACCGCUUUUCACUAAACAGCCCAUUCCCUGGUGUGCACAGGAAUUCCCUCCUGCUAAUGCCAGAAACUCACGUGUGACAUCGUCCAGCCUGGGGGAAGUAUUGGCACCCAACCCCACCGUUGAGAAGCCAGUUCCUAAAAUAGACCUGCGUUUGCACUGCAGGAGGAAGGCCGCAGGGUGCUCGAAAGGCAGUCAGCUACAAUGGCAGCAGAGUUCUUUCCAGGGCUGGCUGUUCCCAAAGUUGGAAGCAGCCUUGUAGGAAAACCAUAUAAACUCUCUGUCUUCCCCUUGACUUCAUGUGCUGAAUAACAGUCAUCUUUUGGGAGUUUUUACAUUCGAUGAGCUGAAAGGUUAACUGCUUCUUGAUUCUUCUAUAAUAGGCCUGUACCAGAGAGAGAGAGAGAGAGAGAGAGAGAGAGAGAGAAACAGUGCCUUGGGAUUCACAGGUUCCAGUACAGUCUGAAAUAGCCCAGUGUUGUGAUUCCCCUCAGCUGCCCUAAACAAAGGUGUCUGUGUCACUCCGUCACUGUGGCUGAGCUGCAGCACACCCUCGGUGAGGUCUGGCCUCUGUCUCUGCUUGUCAUGUGUGCACACUGAACGUGAGCACUGACAGGUUGCUUUCUGCACCUCCUCUAGGAGGCUUGGCUUCCAGCCCUGCAAAUUUAUUCUCUCUCUGUGGACCAGAAAACUCCAGAUACAAACGCCCUAUGAGAGCAGGACCACGGUGAUGCCACACACACACUGAGCACCAACAGCAAAGCCCGCUGCCAUCGAGGAAGUAGACACACAUUCCGCUGCUAGCUCAGGGGCGAGCCCUGACCUCUCGCCCUGCAGAUCAGCCCUCUGUGCUCUCCCAUGCAUUGUUGAAACAGCCAGAUUAGGAACUAGUCUUUGACCCUUGGCUGGAAUACUGCCUGGUUCCAACACA